GUGCACUGCCUUUAUCUGGGGGAUAGCUUUCCGAAAGGAGAUUAAUACCCCAUAGUAUGUUGAAAUGCAUCAUUCGACAUUGAAAACUCCGGUGGAUAGAGAUGGGGCACGCGCCAGAUAGAUAGUUGGUGAGGUAACGGCUCACCCAAGUCUACGAUCUUUAGGGGGCCUGAGAGGGUGAUCCCCCACACUGGUACUGAACACGGACCAACUCCUACGGGAGGCAAGUGAGAAUAUGGACAAUGGGUGAGAGCCUGAUCAGCAUCCCGCGUGAAGGACGACUGCCUAUGGGUUGUAAACUUCUUUUGUAUAGGGAUAAACCUACCCUCGUGAGGGUAGCUGAAGGUACUAUACGAAUAAGCACCGGCUAACUCCGUGCCAGCAGCCGCGGUAAUACGGAGGGUGCAAGCGUUAUCCGGAUUUAUUGGGUUUAAGGGUCCGUAGCGGAUCUGUAAAGUCAGUGGUGAAAUCUCACAGCUUAACUGUGAAACUGCCAUUGAUACUGCAGGUCUUGAGUGUUGUUGAAGUAGCUGGAAUAAGUAGUGUAACGGUGAAAUGCAUAGAUAUUACUUAAAAACACCAAUUGCGAAGGCAGGUUAC
rnacentral:rRNA from 1 species